CUUUUUCUCUUGCUUCUUGCCUUGCCUGGAAUUACAAAUUUCUCCAAGGAAGAUUGGGAGUUCUGUUUGUGCUUCUGCUGCAAGGGUUUUGGGGGGUUUGGAGUUUUAAUAGUGUUUUGAACAAUGCUUGUCGGUGCCGGGAGGCAGUUUCCUGUACUGGAUAAGCAGUCCUCUACAAAUACUGACAACCAUUCUAAGCUGACAUCUACUUCCGUAUUCUGAGCACUGAAAAGGUCAUCAAGAGGGCUUGUAUGUGUUAUAGCAGUACCAAGCUUAGAGCAGGGAGAAGAAGAUGUAAGGACUUUCUCCUGUUGGUGAUACUCACCGGAAACUGUCACAUU
rnacentral:misc_RNA from 1 species